GGUAUAGCUUGAAGGUUACCACUUGGUUCACGAGAAAGUAUUAAAACAAUAUCCAAAAAGUUUAAAUAUCUUCCAAAUUCUUUGAGGCUUCAUCAGUAUCUUGUGCACCAUAAGUAUGUUAAAGCAAAAAUGCAGUAGCCCACAGCAGCAGUAACUCGAGGAUAAAAAGUAAGCAGAUGUGAGAGUCAUCAACAAGUCAGCAAAUCUGUAAGUGAGAAGCCCCGAGUCAUAGCAAGAUCAGGAUUGGUACAAAUGGCUGUCAGGGCAGUUGGUUGGCAGUGACAUGUAUUCGUUAUACAAAAGGUGAGAAUCGUAAGGCCAAACUUGUACACUAGGUAAUCCUGAAUUAUAAAAAGGACAUAACAGAUUCGUCCUAGGAGGCCUGUUGCAGUUCUUCAUUUACUUAUUUAGGACGAAGAUUUAUUAUGCUCAAAGAAGGCCACAGAGCCUGGGAAUUUGUUCAAUUUUCCUCGUACAAAGUGUUUCGUUUUGAUCUCAGUUGCUUAAUUGUUUUAGUUUAACUCUCCGUGGUAGCUUCAUAUGAUAUAACCUGAUGUUGCAUAACUCAAUCUGUUAUUUCCUUUACGAAUCAUGUUCUUUCUCCUCUUUGAAAACAUUCAAAAUAACCAGUUAAUCAUUUUAACAAGUUUUUGUUUUGCUGUUGUAAAUCACCAUUCUCCAUCAAAUUAACCAGCUUCGUUGGUAGUCCAUGAAGCACAGGACUAAACUUGAACAAUCUUUCUAGGAGACUGUCCAGUUGCUGGAAAACAAUACAUCACCAAGAGAAGAGGUUGUUUCGAUUGUAAAUCUCCACCGACCCCUUUGAUCGGUAAUCUUUGCUUGACAAUGUCUGCCGGUUUUCCCAUAAAGAAGCUGGGAUAUAUUGUCUUCUCGCCAGCAGUUAUUCAGCUUCCCAGCAGCGAGUUGAAUGCUGAAGAGGUUUAAUGGAAGGAAAACAGUAAAGGCAGUAGGAGACAACAAGAUCUUGAUACUAUUUGGCAGAGAUGGCUUUGGGGCGUAGGAGACACAAACACCCUUUUGAUCAUCGCUCAAGCUUCAAAUGUCUUCACUUCACAUCAACCAUUUCGUCCAUUCUCCUCACAAAGGCGCUCUUGGACCUAAGAUCACGGUCUUGUAUGGUAAACAGCCGAGGGUUUCGACCAAAAGUGAAGGCCUUUCUUUUCCAUGGUGCCCCACCCAGAUCGAACACCGACACUGUCAAAGCCAAAGCCAAAGCCACAUCAUUGGCUUGGUCAGUCAAGAUUGCCCUGUCAUACACAGCCAGGUAGUUUUUUAAUUUCCCCUGCUUCAAAUACAUGUGCUCAACCACUGCCUGCCACUGAAGCUCAGCCACUUCACGCAAGUCAUAAUCUGUCACAUAGUGCGUGAUAUUGUGUGAGCAGGGCACCUGCGGAUAUAUCAUCUUGGAGUUUGAGGAGUUGCCACCCGAGGCUUUCAAGUCCUUCAAAUACUUCUCAGCUAAGCAGGAGCAGGGCUCUCGCUCAAUUGGCCUCAAUGUCAGUUCUAUGAGCACAUUUGAAGGGGUCCACAAUCUCCUCCAUCAGCCACUGUUGGAUCUCGAGGCCUAGGUACAAUUUCAGGGGAAAAUCUUCCUUGCAAUGCUUUCACACACCAAAGUUGCGCGGUCCAUUGAGCCGCCCAUGGAAUGGAAAUAAUCGGUAGCAUCAGUUAUCUCCAACUGAAAGUGUUCUUGUAUGUUGGGAUCAUCAUUGUUCAAGCUAUUGAAGUGGUUCUCCAGCUUCCUCUCUUGAGUUCGAGAAGGCGAACGGCGCUGAGGGUCUCUGAGAAUAUUGUCUAAAUUGCUCAGGAGUUGUCAGUGGGAGGAGCUUGGAAGGGAGGGGGGUUGGGGUGGAUCCGGAGGAGUCAGUACGCUGCUGUGUAGAAGGCUGCUUCACCAUACAUGUCUUUGCAGCAGGAUUCGACUGUCUAGAAGGUUAAAGAUGAGCUUGAGCCUUGGAAGGUUGGUGAUGGUGGUGGUGGAGUGGGGUCGUUCGAGCACCAGGUUUGGUGGUGGUGUUGGGCUUGACGGGUUUUGUCGCCAUGCUUCCUUCACCGGAAUCUUAUUCUUCAGCGGUUUCUCUGCAGCCGGUGUCAUCAUUACGUUUGUAUAGAAUAGGGUUUCAUAUACAAGGUGCAACAAGUCCAGACAUUUUUUAUUUAUACUUUGUUGGAUUUGUAGCAUUUUAGUAUUAGCUUUCUAGUGUUUGAGUAA